ensembl:lincRNA
CUUGUGGUUUGCCCACCUCGGCCUCCCAAAGUGCUGGGAUUACAGGCAUGAGCCACUGCUCCUGGGCCAUGUUUAUCUUUCUUAAAAAAUAAACUAUAUUGAUUCUGCAAAUUAAUAUUUUCCCAGAGACAGGAGAGGGAGAAAGAGAAAGAGCGUGAGAGCAAGAGAGAGAGAGAGAAACAGAAUGACUCAACCUUUACUCUCUAUACCAGUAGUCUUCAAGCUGAGGCUGUGUGCCCCAUUCUUAUUACUCUAUCUCAGUGGGUCUCAAUCCCGGCUACACAUUGGAAUCACUUGGAAAGCUUUAAAAAUAAAACCAAACCUGUGCUUGGGCUCCACCUAGGUGUUCACCACAGCUGUCAGUAUAAAUCAAUGCGUCUUGGUUCCAUUCUUCAUCAUUUGCUGGUAGCUAAAUUAUGAAAGCAAGCAGUCAGAAGUCACCCCAUAAAACACCUUCCACCCUCUGAGCAUGACCAGCAAAGCGGUUUCUUCUUGCGGGCACUGCAUCAGUCCAGCUCAAAGUGCAUUCCAUUCUGAUGAACAUCCACAAACAGUUAUGAAGAAGACCCAAAUGUCAUGAUUUUGUUCCUCUCAGAUAAUAAAAAUAUCAUGAGUCUGAAGGAGUGGUGGUGGGUGUUCAAGUCAAUUCAGUUACAAGCGUACGCCUUACCCCAGUUCUCGUGACUUCAUCCUGAAUUAGAGUUGUCCCCUGUCAUCUGGAAUAUAUUUCCCAUUGAGACACAUUACUCUCACUCCUUCUACAGCUGUCCCAGGCUCAGUGCUUGAUUUCUCAGAGAUUUUGUUAUGUGAAUCAGUCCAAAGUGUGUUACAGCAAGACUAAGUCAUCAUGAGUCACAUGAUCCACACAUUUCCUAUUUGUAUCUUUACUUGGUUGAGUGUGUUGUCGGGGGUUAGAAUAUAUUUUGGUCUGCUUUAACCUUUGUGUUCAAAUUCACUCUUAGGUUGAAAGAAAAAUAUAAACUCAAAUUUAAAGAAUAGCCUUCUUUAAAAGACAAGCUUGGCUAUGACUAAGCAGUUGUUACUUGAUGAGCGAGAGAAGCCCCUUCUUGGAUAAUUGGGGCUGCAGGAAUGGAGUGACCGUUUCCCCAUCAGCAUCCUCUCUGGGUGCUUCAGGUCUGAGCUAGAAGAGCAAGGGCCAGCGUCCCCCAGCACGUAGUUGUCUUGAUGCCACAGACAAAAUAAUUUAAUUCAUGUAUGCGUCCUCAUAAAUCUGACAAAUGUUUAGAAAAUGGAAGCUUUGAAACGUGCCGAAUUUGGGAGAGAAAGGUGUGCCUUUUACAGGACCAUCAGGUCAUCGCUCUGAUCUGGGAAUUUUUACGUAGUGAAUACAGAUUUCCCAGCCCAUAAACUGAACUCUGUUACCAAAGCAUUUUUAAAAUCUCGAUUUACAGUUUUCUUUCUGUGAGUUGGCAGAAAAUUUAAACUAGUUCAUUCUUGGUAUAUUCAGGAAAUUCCAAAAUUUCUCUCUUUUAGGAGGCACAAGUCCUUUCUUCCCCCUUUUUUCCCCAAGUGGGCAGGCAUUUGUGGCACCCAGCAUCAGGAAGAAAGUCCUUGCUCAGCCUUUCUCUGUGUUGUCAUAUCACACAGUGAUAGGAUCAUAGUUAAAGCUAGUAUUUAUACUUCGCUCUCUAUUUUGUACUUCGCUCUCUAUUUUAAGAGCUUUACAUAAAAAAAUUAAUUGAGG